GCUUGCGCUGCCCGCCAUUUUGAUGCCGAGUGCUCCAACGAGUUCAUAGCACGCGCCAUGCUUGUACUACUGUCGGGUUAGCUUUCGCGUUUCGGCUCCAGCAAAGCAAUUUUCGGCCUCUGUUUCUCUCUCUAAACAUGGCGAAACCCUAAUCCGCCCUUCCAUUUGGCGGACGACAAAUCUCGGUUACCGAGUCCUGAUUAUAUGUUUCUGUGUCGAUUUUUCAUUUCCAUUCAAGUGUGAUUCGCAAGUUCUGCUGAAUCCCUAACACCGUUUGCAAGAUCAAAUGUCGGAAUCUUCAAGAUCUCGAGUUACCAUUACCCUCGGACGCACCGGGCAGGUAGUUAAAAGAGAUGGGGGUGAGAUGGAUAGGUCUUUUACUGAUUUGCAUCCGGUGGCGGGAAGCAAAAGGUCGGUUCAUGAAAGGCUUGGAAAUACGGUAGAUUCAUCUGCCCAAAUCACCAACAAAAGAUUGCGGGGUGAUGGUAGAAAUGCCAAUGCUUCUUCUGACAUCCAUCUUAGCAAGGAUGAUCUCCGGUACAAAAUCAUGAAAAGAAAUAUGCUGAAGCAGAGUCAAAAUAACCAGCAGAAUGGUCUGGAUCUCCGCAAUAUUCUGUCAAGGCCCUCACAAUCUUCUACAAAUAGCAUAUCUUCACGGGGGAGGAUACCUGCGUCAAAGGAUAGCCGACUGCAGAAUUUAGAGCCAAUGGAAGGCAGACAGUACUCUAUAGAGACCAAUGAUGGUAGACAUUCACUGCCCGUCACCCAAAGUAUGAGCCAGCACAUACCUGAAUUUCGGGUUCAGCAUGCACCAAAUCAUAGGAAACAGAACACCCUGGAAGCCACUGGAGGUGGGGGAAACAUUAAUAUGGAAAAAGAUGUUGGGAAUCGUGUUCCUGAGUCUAGUUAUCCUGGUAUGAUGCGAGAUUUACCCGGAAUGAGAGCUCCCAAGUCAAUGGACAGAAUGGAGUCAGGUAUUAGUUCUUAUUCUCCAUGGACAUUGGAUCGGUUGAGGCAAAGAUCACCUGAUGAAUCUUUUGCAACAAGUAGAGGUGUGACUGCACCAAAAAGGGAUGAUGAACUGCAAAUGAGAUAUGCUGUUAGGCCAUAUGAUGAUGCUAGGAAAAAUUCAUACGUUUCAAAAGAUGUUUUGGAUAUUUCGAGACCCAUGAGUUCAUCUCACUUGAGUAAAAUGGCUCCACCAGUUGGACAGAUGAAGCCUAUGGCACCAAUCAACCCUAUACUUCCUGCAUCUGGGAAUUUUCUGCAGAAAAGCUCAUAUGGGGUGGAUGAUCAGGUUACUGUUGAGAGCUUUUUGCGUUCAUUGGGUCUUGAAAAAUAUACUAUUCUCUUUAAGGCCGAGGAAGUGGAUAUGUAUUCUUUGAAACGGAUGACUGAGAGAGACCUAAAAGAAAUGGGAUUACCCAUGGGACCAAGGAAGAAAAUCCUGCUUACGUUACAGCCGCGUCAAAAACAGGAAGCUUGAUGGCUGUACAUGUUGCAGAUUUGUGGUGCAGUUUCAUUGUUUUGCUAUUUUCUCCGAGAGUUUGGCCAUUAAAUGAUCAAUAUGAUGAUUCCGCAGCUUCCUAGCUUAAUCACUAUGGUCAGUAUUGUCCAUGCAUGGGAUGGAAGUACAUUCUAUAUCCUUUAUAUGUAUGUAAGAGUUUCUUCUCAUGAUUUUGUUUCAAUGGUAUCUUUAUGUGCCAUAUGAGGAGCCACAUUCCUUUGAUAACACUACACAAACAUGCGGAAAUCUGCAUGUGGUGGUGAUUACUUUGAUGGCUUCUUGCUAACAAGUUAAAGAUAGUGGACAAAACACGAUGAUUUCUCUUUGUUGGAAGUCAUUUCUCUUAUGCGCAUGGAUAAUCUAUGCAUGUUUUACUAAAUAUGAUCGCCCAGCCCACCCCGUGUCCGUGCUGUGUGCUGUCUAUUGGAUGGAUGAUGUUAAGUGGCUUGGCUUCCUUGACCAGAUUACUUUCAUUGCCUUGAUCAAAGGCUGCAUCUGCAUGCGUGUUUGUUUAUUCAUUCGUUCCACUUGCAUGGUAUUAGGUUGUGUGCGUGACUGCUAUGAUGUGAAGUAAUCCGUCACCGAACAUGGACAUUGUUAGUUUUAUAUAUACAAUGAAUUCUCGAUUUUUAUUUUUUA